UACGUAGGGUCCGAGCGUUGUCCGGAAUUACUGGGCGUAAAGAGCUCGUAGGUGGUUUGUCGCGUUGUUCGUGAAAACUCACAGCUCAACUGUGGGCGUGCGGGCGAUACGGGCAGACUAGAGUACUGCAGGGGAGACUGGAAUUCCUGGUGUAGCGGUGGAAUGCGCAGAUAUCAGGAGGAACACCGGUGGCGAAGGCGGGUCUCUGGGCAGUAACUGGCGCUGAGGAGCGAAAGCGUGGGGAGCGAACAGG
rnacentral:rRNA from 1 species